rnacentral:ncRNA from 1 species
AAAAGACUUAGUCCUAACCUUACCGUUAGUUCUCGCUAGAUAUAUACAUGCAAGUAUCCGCGCUCCAGUGUAAAUGCCCUUGACUCCUACUACUGUAGGCAAAAGGAGCUGGCAUCAGGCACGCCCAUAGCAGCCCAAGACGCCUUGCUUAGCCACACCCCCACGGGUACUCAGCAGUAAUUAACAUUAAGCAAUAAGUGUAAACUUGACUUAGUCAUAGCAAUCCAGGGUUGGUAAAUCUUGUGCCAGCCACCGCGGUCACACAAGAGACCCAAACUAAUCGUUCACGGCGUAAAGAGUGGACUCAUGCUUAUCGCAUUAAUUAAGGUCAAAACGCAGCUGAGCUGUCAUAAGCUUAAGGUGCACUUAAAACCGCCCUAAAUACGACCCUAAACUCAUACGACUCAAUGAACUCCACGAAAGCCAGGGUACAAACUGGGAUUAGAUACCCCACUAUGCCUGGCCCUAAAUCUUGAUGCUCUAUAUAACCAAAGCAUCCGCCUGAGAACUACGAGCACAAACGCUUAAAACUCUAAGGACUUGGCGGUGCCCCAAACCCACCUAGAGGAGCCUGUUCUGUAAUCGAUAACCCACGAUACACCCGACCACUUCUUGCCAAAAACAGCCUACAUACCGCCGUCGCCAGCUCACCUCUUCUGAGAGUACCACAGUGAGCACAACCGCUCUAACCCCGCUAACAAGACAGGUCAAGGUAUAGCCCAUGAAGUGGAAGAAAUGGGCUACAUUUUCUAACUUAGAAAAUCUCACGAAAAGGGGUAUGAAACAACCCCUGGAAGGUGGAUUUAGCAGUAAAGCGGGACAAUAUAGCCCCCUUUAAGCCGGCUCUGGGGCACGUACAUACCGCCCGUCACCCUCCUCAUAAGCUCUAAACUACUAAUAAAUAAUACCCCUAUCCGCUAAAGAUGAGGUAAGUCGUAACAAGGUAAGUGUACCGGAAGGUGCACUUAGUACACC